rnacentral:misc_RNA from 1 species
GAUGAAGAACGUAGUGAAAUGCGAUACGUAGUGUGAAUUGCAGAAUUCAGUGAAUCAUCGAAUCUUUGAACGCACAUUGCACCUCUCGGUAUUCCGGGAGGUAUGCCUGUUCGAGAGUCAUUUGUACCCUCAAGCUCUGCUUGGUGUUGGGUGUUUGUUCCGCCUCUGUGUGUGAACUCGCCUCAAAACAAUUGGCAGCCGGCGUACUUGUUUCGGAGCGCAGCACAUUUUGCGAUCCAGAUCAACGUACAGCGGCAUCCAAGAAGCCUUAUUUAACGCUCUUGACCUCGGAUCAGGUAGGGAUACCCGCUGAACUUAAGCAUAUCAAUAAGCGGAGGA